rnacentral:rRNA from 1 species
UACGUAGGGCGCAAGCGUUGUCCGGAAUUAUUGGGCGUAAAGCGCUCGUAGGCGGCCAUUUACGUCCGCUGUGAAAUCCCGGGGCUUAACCCCGGGCGUGCAGUGGAUACGGGCUGGCUGGAGGCCGGCAGGGGAGAACGGAAUUCCUGGUGUAGCGGUGAAAUGCGCAGAUAUCAGGAGGAACACCGGUGGCGAAGGCGGCUCUCUGGGCCGGUACUGACGCUGAGGUGCGAAAGCGUGGGGAGCGAACAGG